UAUUCAUUACUUGCUAUUCGACGCAUUUUUAGAACGAUAAGGCAGGAGUGUGUCUUGACAUGAAAUACAUGGUGCUCACAAAGCGUAAACCAUCAGAUACGACUUAAGCCUACAGUGUGCUGACGUGGAUAGAAGUGUUUCGCAGAAAGAAAAAGGGUCCACAGGAAUAUGGGAACCAUGUAGGGAUGAAAAGACGCUUUGCAAAAUGACCAAUGGAGAUGUAUUACUCGACCCAUUUCCCAGCGACGGUCGCAUCCCAACGGAUGAAGAGAUAGCCACUCGGUACAUGGCGCUUCCUCCACUACCCUAUGGGGGGACAGUGGCAAUAUAUGCAGUAGGAGCCUUCAACUACCACCCUCUCCUACGUAAAGACUCCGGACUCCUGACGUACUCCGUAUUUCGACAACUAUGGCCAAACGAAUUCCCAGAGUGCCAGAACCCUAGAAUAGAUUUCCAGGACAGGGACCAAGUUUCUCCAGCUGUGAUCAAGUUUAAGUAUAGGAAAGACUUGGAGACAAUCGUUGCAAGGGUGGAACCCGCUUUAUGGGUAGUUCUCAAUGAUAUAUUUUCCGAAUUCAUGAAAAGGAAAAAGAGGACGGGUGCUAGCGGUCUUCCUAUGGAGGAUGUUUACUUGGACGAUAGCAACCAGUGGUUGGCAAAUUUAUUAAACGCGUCUAAAGGAAUUCCUAUACGAUUUUAAGCGUUAAAUACGUUAACGCACCUGUAUGCACAUAUUUAUUUUAUUUUAUGAUGUAUAUACAUACAUGAAUUAAUUGUCUGUGAGUAUCGAAUUUCAUCAAUUUAACCAAAUUGGAUAUCAGUGCGUUCCACGUGCAAUAUCAAGUAUCCCUAUAGACAUCCUCUUACAUUGACUUGGCUGAUUUACUUUUAAAAAGUAUUUAAUUUCAUCCGUCACCUUAUCCACAGGAAAUCCCAAAAAUCACCCUGAGUUGUACAGUCUAUCAGUACAUGCGAU